AGAAUCAACGCUGGCGGCGUGCCUAACACAUGCAAGUCGCACGAGAAAGUGGAGCAAUCCAUGAGUAAAGUGGCGCACGGGUGAGUAACACGUGAAUUAUCUACCUCCGAGUGGGGAAUAACUGAGAGAAAUCUUAGCUAAUACCGCAUAACACUUACGAGUCAAAGCAGCAAUGCGCUUGGAGAGGAGUUCGCGGCCGAUUAGUUAGUUGGCGGGUAAUGGCCCACCAAGACGAUGACCGGUA
rnacentral:rRNA from 1 species